AUUGAACGCUGGCGGCAUGCCUUACACAUGCAAGUCGAACGGCAGCACGGGUGCUUGCCCCUGGUGGCGAGUGGCGAACGGGUGAGUAAUACAUCGGAACAUGUCCUGUAGUGGGGGAUAGCCCGGCGAAAGCCGGAUUAAUACCGCAUACGAUCCACGGAUGAAAGCGGGGGACCUUCGGGCCUCGCGCUAUAGGGUUGGCCGAUGGCUGAUUAGCUAGUUGGUGGGGUAAAGGCCUACCAAGGCGACGAUCAGUAGCUGGUCUGAGAGGACGACCAGCCACACUGGGACUGAGACACGGCCCAGACUCCUACGGGAGGCAGCAGUGGGGAAUUUUGGACAAUGGGCGAAAGCCUGAUCCAGCAAUGCCGCGUGUGUGAAGAAGGCCUUCGGGUUGUGAAGCACUUUUGUCCGGAAAGAAAUCCUUGGCUCUAAUACAGUCGGGGGAUGACGGUACCGGAAGAAUAAGCACCGGCUAACUACGUG
rnacentral:rRNA from 1 species